GACUCUAGAGAUAGAGUCUUCCCCUUCGGGGGACAAAGUGACAGGUGGUGCAUGGUUGUCGUCAGCUCGUGUCGUGAGAUGUUGGGUUAAGUCCCGCAACGAGCGCAACCCUUAAGCUUAGUUGCCAGCAUUAAGUUGGGCACUCUAAGUUGACUGCCGGUGACAAACCGGAGGAAGGUGGGGAUGACGUCAAAUCAUCAUGCCCCUUAUGAUUUGGGCUACACACGUGCUACAAUGGACAAUACAAAGGGCAGCUAAACCGCGAGGUCAUGCAAAUCCCAUAAAGUUGUUCUCAGUUCGGAUUGUAGUCUGCAACUCGACUACAUGAAGCUGGAAUCGCUAGUAAUCGUAGAUCAGCAUGUUACGGUGAAUACGUUCCCGGGUCUUGUACACACCGCCCGUCACACCACGAGAGUCUGUAACACCCGAAGCCGGUGGAGUAACCAUUUACGGAGCUAACCGUCGAAGGUGGGACAAAUGAUUGGGGUGAAGUCGUAACAAGGUAGCCGUAUCGGAAGGUGCGGUUGGAUCACCUC
rnacentral:rRNA from 1 species